rnacentral:rRNA from 1 species
UACCACAGAGCAGGUAUCAGGCUCAACAACGUUAGCCCAUCACACCUUGCCAAGCCACAUCCCCACGGAUAUUACAGCAGUGAUUAACAUUAGGCAAUAAGCACCUACAAGCUUGACCUAACUAAAAUUUUAUUUGGCCGGCAAAUCUCGUGCCAGCAGCCGCGGUUACACGGGAGGCCAAAAAUAAGAUAUAACGGCGUAAAGAGUGACACAAGAGCCCGACCCUUCAACAGGACCCCAAAAAUCUUAUCUCAGAGAUGAAACCCUAAGAUAUCAAGAACCCUAACCAUCCCUAAAUUGGCCAUCUAAAUUCACGAAAGCUGGGAUACAAACUAGGAUU